rnacentral:rRNA from 1 species
GACAGAGGGUGCAAACGUUGUUCGGAAUUACUGGGCGUAAAGCGUGUGUAGGCGGCCGCGCAAGUCGGAUGUGAAAGCCCUGGGCUCAACUCAGGAAGUGCACCCGAUACUGCGUGGCUCGAGUACCGGAGAGGUUGGUGGAAUUCUCGGUGUAGAGGUGAAAUUCGUAGAUAUUCGGAAGAACACCAGUGGCGAAGGCGGCUCACUGGACCGGUAUUGACGCUGAGGUGCGAAAGCGUGGGGAGCAAACAGG